GAAAAGAACCCCGGCGAGGGGAGUGAAAAAGAACCUGAAACCGUGUACGUACAAGCAGUGGGAGCACAGAGCAAUCUGUGUGACUGCGUACCUUUUGUAUAAUGGGUCAGCGACUUAUAUUCUGUAGCAAGGUUAACCGAAUAGGGGAGCCGAAGGGAAACCGAGUCUUAACUGGGCGUUAAGUUGCAGGGUAUAGACCCGAAACCCGGUGAUCUAGCCAUGGGCAGGUUGAAGGUUGGGUAACACUAACUGGAGGACCGAACCGACUAAUGUUGAAAAAUUAGCGGAUGACUUGUGGCUGGGGGUGAAAGGCCAAUCAAACCGGGAGAUAGCUGGUUCUCCCCGAAAGCUAUUUAGGUAGCGCCUCGUGAAUUCAUCUCCGGGGGUAGAGCACUGUUUCGGCAAGGGGGUCAUCCCGACUUACCAACCCGAUGCAAACUGCGAAUACCGGAGAAUGUUAUCACGGGAGACACACGGCGGGUGCUAACGUCCGUCGUGAAGAGGGAAACAACCCAGACCGCCAGCUAAGGUCCCAAAGUCAUGGUUAAGUGGGAAACGAUGUGGGAAGGCCCAGACAGCCAGGAUGUUGGCUUAGAAGCAGCCAUCAUUUAAAGAAAGCGUAAUAGCUCACUGGUCGAGUCGGCCUGCGCGGAAGAUGUAACGGGGCUAAACCAUGCACCGAAGCUGCGGCAGCGACACUGUGUGUUGUUGGGUAGGGGAGCGUUCUGUAAGCCUGUGAAGGUGUGCUGUGAGGCAUGCUGGAGGUAUCAGAAGUGCGAAUGCUGACAUAAGUAACGAUAAAGCGGGUGAAAAGCCCGCUCGCCGGAAGACCAAGGGUUCCUGUCCAACGUUAAUCGGGGCAGGGUGAGUCGACCCCUAAGGCGAGGCCGAAAGGCGUAGUCGAUGGGAAACAGGUUAAUAUUCCUGUACUUGGUGUUACUGCGAAGGGGGGACGGAGAAGGCUAUGUUGGCCGGGCGACGGUUGUCCCGGUUUAAGCGUGUAGGCUGGUUUUCCAGGCAAAUCCGGAAAAUCAAGGCUGAGGCGUGAUGACGAGGCACUACGGUGCUGAAGCAACAAAUGCCCUGCUUCCAGGAAAAGCCUCUAAGCAUCAGGUAACAUCAAAUCGUACCCCAAACCGACACAGGUGGUCAGGUAGAGAAUACCAAGGCGCUUGAGAGAACUCGGGUGAAGGAACUAGGCAAAAUGGUGCCGUAACUUCGGGAGAAGGCACGCUGAUAUGUAGGUGAAGUCCCUCGCGGAUGGAGCUGAAAUCAGUCGAAGAUACCAGCUGGCUGCAACUGUUUAUUAAAAACACAGCACUGUGCAAACACGAAAGUGGACGUAUACGGUGUGACGCCUGCCCGGUGCCGGAAGGUUAAUUGAUGGGGUCAGCGCAAGCGAAGCUCUUGAUCGAAGCCCCGGUAAACGGCGGCCGUAACUAUAACGGUCCUAAGGUAGCGAAAUUCCUUGUCGGGUAAGUUCCGACCUGCACGAAUGGCGUAAUGAUGGCCAGGCUGUCUCCACCCGAGACUCAGUGAAAUUGAACUCGCUGUGAAGAUGCAGUGUACCCGCGGCAAGACGGAAAGACCCCGUGAACCUUUACUAUAGCUUGACACUGAACAUUGAGCCUUGAUGUGUAGGAUAGGUGGGAGGCUUUGAAGUGUGGACGCCAGUCUGCAUGGAGCCGACCUUGAAAUACCACCCUUUAAUGUUUGAUGUUCUAACGUGGACCCGUGAUCCGGGUUGCGGACAGUGUCUGGUGGGUAGUUUGACUGGGGCGGUCUCCUCCUAAAGAGUAACGGAGGAGCACGAAGGUUGGCUAAUCCUGGUCGGACAUCAGGAGGUUAGUGCAAUGGCAUAAGCCAGCUUGACUGCGAGCGUGACGGCGCGAGCAGGUGCGAAAGCAGGUCAUAGUGAUCCGGUGGUUCUGAAUGGAAGGGCCAUCGCUCAACGGAUAAAAGGUACUCCGGGGAUAACAGGCUGAUACCGCCCAAGAGUUCAUAUCGACGGCGGUGUUUGGCACCUCGAUGUCGGCUCAUCACAUCCUGGGGCUGAAGUAGGUCCCAAGGGUAUGGCUGUUCGCCAUUUAAAGUGGUACGCGAGCUGGGUUUAGAACGUCGUGAGACAGUUCGGUCCCUAUCUGCCGUGGGCGCUGGAGAACUGAGGGGGGCUGCUCCUAGUACGAGAGGACCGGAGUGGACGCAUCACUGGUGUUCGGGUUGUCAUGCCAAUGGCACUGCCCGGUAGCUAAAUGCGGAAGAGAUAAGUGCUGAAAGCAUCUAAGCACGAAACUUGCCCCGAGAUGAGUUCUCCCUGACCCUUUAAGGGUCCUGAAGGAACGUUGAAGACGACGACGUUGAUAGGCCGGGUGUGUAAGCGCAGCGAUGCGUUGAGCUAACCGGUACUAAUGAACCGUGAGGCUUAACCUUACAACGCCGAAGGUGUUU
rnacentral:rRNA from 1 species